AGACGCAAUCCCUCUCCUGGCCACCGCAGCCGAACGCGCUCCUUCACUGCAGCCAGUCCCGUCGAGCCGUCCCCACCUUCCCGAUGCGCACUCUCUCCUCAACCCUGCAGGGAAGGCGAAGAAUGGCAAAGGCUCCGCAGUCUCCUGGCCCCGCUCCUCCUCCGGCCUCAAGCGGCCGCCCGCUACGCCGGAACCCUGAACAACGUAGUCUGCGACCUUGUGCGGCGUCUGAGGCGCCAGCGGGGACGUGGCACGGGGCCGCCCGCCCUGGUUCGGGACGUGGCGGGGGAAUUUUACAAGUUCGGACUGGAAGCAUCGCCGCGGUUCUGCUCGGCUCGCGCUUGGGCUGCCUGGAGGCUCAAGUGCCACCCGACACGGAGACCUUCAUCCGCGCUGUGGGCUCGGUGUUUGUGUCCACGCUGUUGACCAUGGCGAUGCCCCACUGGCUGCGCCACCUUGUGCCAGUUAGACCCAAGACCCGGACUGUCCUGGUACCUGAAAGGAGCAUCAACCUACAGUUUUUGGACAGAUAGUCCCAUGGAAAGAGACUGUCAUCAUCAC
rnacentral:lncRNA from 1 species